GACGAACGCUGGCGGCGUGCUUAACACAUGCAAGUCGAACGGAAAGGCCCUGCUUUUGUGGGGUGCUCGAGUGGCGAACGGGUGAGUAACACGUGAGUAACCUGCCCUUGACUUUGGGAUAACUUUAGGAAACUGGGGCUAAUACCGGAUAGGAGCUCCUGCUGCAUAGUGGGGGUUGGAAAGUUUCGGCGGUUGGGGAUGGACUCGCGGCUUAUCAGCUUGUUGGUGGGGUAGUGGCUUACCAAGGCUUUGACGGGUAGCCGGCCUGAGAGGGUGACCGGCCACAUUGGGACUGAGAUACGGCCCAGACUCCUACGGGAGGCAGCAGUGGGGAAUAUUGCACAAUGGGCGGAAGCCUGAUGCAGCAACGCCGCGUGCGGGAUGACGGCCUUCGGGUUGUAAACCGCUUUCGCCUGUGACGAAGCGUGAGUGACGGUAAUGGGGAAAGAAGCACCGGCUAACUACGU
rnacentral:rRNA from 1 species